UACGUAGGGGGCAAGCGUUAUCCGAAUUUACUGGGUGUAAAGGGAGCGUAGACGGCCAGACAAGUCUGAAGUGAAAAUCCAGCGCUUAACGUUGGAAGUGCUUUGGAAACUGCCGGGCUAGAGUGCAGGAGGGGCAGGCGGAAUUCCUAGUGUAGCGGUGAAAUGCGUAGAUAUUAGGAGGAACACCAGUGGCGAAGGCGGCUUGCUGGACGAUGACUGACGUUGAGGCUCGAAAGCGUGGGGAGCAAACAGG
rnacentral:rRNA from 1 species